rnacentral:lncRNA from 1 species
CUGGGAACUUCACUUACCCAGCACACGCGCGGCCUUCGGUGGCCUCGGCCAGACAACUUGAAGGAACUCUGCACACAAAGGGAGGAGGGCACUCAGGGCAGCCGGCACCCGGGGCCCAGCCCGAUGGCCUGGGGGACGGCCCCCGCGCCCCACGCCUGGCCCAUCCUGCCUGGGCCAGCGCAGCGCUGAACAGCACACACGGAGGCCGCUCCCUUCCCGCGAGACUUGGGCUCCAGCUCGGGAGGCACGGCAGGAGCGGCGGCCAGGCCAGUCCCCCCAGCUUCCGGCCCGGCGGCCCCCGAAAGCAGGCCGAGGCCCGGAAGGGACAACGUGCAGGGCUGCUGGAGCCCACCGCGGGCCUCACCACCCAGACGCGGCCUCAGCGGUGCUGCUCCUGCACUCCGGGCCUGUAAACAGGGAAUUACAUAAGUCCACCCCUCUUGUUUGGGAGCCAAAAGUACGAGCUUUCUCUCCCAGCCCUGGCAAUACCACCCUUCUCACACCGGGGUCGGCAUGGAGCACACUCCCUGCGCCUGACACCUGUGAGCUUAGCACCAAC